UUAAUGCAGUCCUAAAAUAGCAUAUGCCUCUUUGCAGCCACGUCACAUUGUUGACUCAUAGUCAGCUUGUGAUCUACAUCAAUUCCAAGAUCCUUCUCACUUCCAGUAGUGUUGAGCCAAAUAUCCCCCUUCUUGUAUCAAUGCACUUGG